UUUCUUAAACCAGACCUGACAUCAUAUAUGCAAUAAAUCAAGUGACUCAAUUUCUACAAGAACCAAAAAUAAGUCAUCUAAUGGCAACAAAAAGAAUAUUGAAGUAUCUAAAAGGAACACUCAGUCAUGGACUGAGAUUUACUAAACAACCACAUAAUAACAGAAUUUAUGGUUUUAGUGAUGCAGAUUUUGUUGAUGAUCCUAGCACCAGGAAAUCAAUCACUGGGGCCUACAUUUUUGUUGGAGGAAAUCUGGUCACAUGAAUCUCAAAGAAACGAAACAUGUAUCCAGAUCCAGUGCAGAAUCUGAAUAUAGAGCAUUGGCAUGCACAAUUGACAGCUGAAGUAAGAUGGUGCUCUUUUAUCUGCAGAGAUCUAAAAAUAAAAAUAGAUUAUAUACCCAUGCUUGCUUGUGACAACAGUUCAACCAUUUUCAUGACUUUGAAUCCUGUCAUUCGACAUAAAUCAAAACAUAUAGAGAUAGAUAUUCACUUCAUCAGAGAGUUAAUCUCAAAUAGAAAUAUACAACUAAAACAUGUAUAUUCAGCAAAACAAGUUACUGAUGUGUUCACAAAAGCUGUGAAACAUGAGAUCUUUAUAGAUUUAUGUCAUAAAUUAAGAAUGAACUUCAAUAUCAAAUAAAAUAUCAUGUUUUUUUUCCUUUCUUGUUUCUUUUUCCUUUUAUUCUUCUAAUUUCUCUCUUCUCCUGUUAUUUGCCUGUUAUUUUCUUUUGUUAUUGUGUUUAAUGUUCAAUCAAAUAAUCUGGUUGCUACACUAUUAGACACUGUUUCCAGGUCAAGCAAAGAGAUAAAGGAUAAAAUAACAAGAUUUUUUUUUUGAUGCCUUUAAUAUUGAUGAUGGAUUCCUUACAAAUGUUAAGUGCUAUGUUUAGGUAGGAUAUGUGAAGGGUUUUCCAAGGAAAAGACGGGAAAGACCGCAACAAAAGAUGAAACUCAACUCUCACAUCAACUUUAUUAAUCUAGAUCAGGGUACUGGUACUGAUGAUCAGUAAAGAUGAUGUAGAUACUGGGAUUUUUCUUUCCUAUAUUUACCUAACUAAAUAUGAACAUGACAUCUCAAUCUCUAAGUUUAAGACAAAUUCUCACAUUUGAGUUCAAAGAUUUUCAAAGUCAAAAUGCUUGAAUUUGCGGAGGAUUGUUAAAUAGUAAAGCAGUUAGUCGUAGUUAGGGAUUAGUUAGAGAUAAGUGUCUAUAUAAGCUAAUGUAAACAUUGUGAUAUUCAUUCAAUCAAAGAGUCAUUUUUCACUUUCAUUCUAUUUGGGUUCCAUUUUACGGAGCAUUGAGUUUUCCAAGAAAAGGUACUCAACAGACGUCGGAACGAAUAGGGAAAUGUAAUUUUUAGAUUGAAAAUUCCGUCCCGAUCGAAUAAAAUCUGUUUUUAUAUCUAUUAAAGAAAUUGCAAUUUAUUUAAAUUAAGAGGACCAUGGCACAAUAGUUCCCACUUAAACUUGCCUCAAGAUGGAUUACAUAAUGUAAUCCCUAGUCCAAAUUGGUGCGGCGGUCCUUCUCCUCUUUCUCCAGCUCAGACCCGGUCAGUCGUCGUUGGGAGGCAGUUGAUCAUCGUCGUCAUCACUGCUGCAGUUCAGUUCUUCUCUCGUUACUGCAUUGGUUCUAAUCAAUUCAGUAUCUCCUUGAAUGGAGGUAUAGCCAAUCAAGUGUGUACUGCAUUUACAAAAAAAAAAGUUAGCAUUUUAAAAGACGUUGUUUUCUGUUUAUGUUGUUAUUUAUUUCCGGAAACAAAUAAAAAUGCUUUUAAUUUUUAGUAAAAUUUUGAAUUUGAAUGAAAUUGGAGAGUUGACCGUAAAGUUGAUUGAGAAAAGAAAAGAUAUCGUAUUUCUUUUGGUAUUUCGUUUGUUAAAAUUAACACUCACAAUACCAGUUGUGACUGUUUCAGUGGAAAGGUUUUUUUCAACAAUGAAUUUUGUGAAAUCAAGUUAUCGCAAUCUUAUGGAUGAUGUUUGGUUGAAUGAUAUUUUAAUAACAUAUGUUAAAAAAGAUUUAUUUUCUAGUGUUAGUAAUGAUAAUAUUAUGUAUCGGUAUCAAAAUAUGACACCUCGUCGAGAACAAUUGGAUUGGAAAAAAAAAUUGAAUUUGGUUAAAUGAUUUAAAAUUAACCCCCCGAAGAAAAAAAAUUCCUGGAUUCGCUUCUGCGAACUAUAUUACAUAUAAGAAAGAAAACAGUGAAAAGAAACAAAGGAGAGGGAAGAGUAGAAGGUUCGCUCGAAGACAUACCCGAGAAGACACGGCAGCGCUUUCGAAGUCGUUCUCCAACGACAACAGCAGUAAACAAUCAGCCUACACAGAAUGCUGGUGUUUACUUCCAAACUCUUCUAGAAUCUCUGGGAAGAGGCAGAAGAGGCUAUGGAGCCACAAAGUGGUGUACAUCAUCAUCAUACACCUGUAACGAAGUCAGUAACAUGUCUUCAUCAUCAUUGUAUCAAUUAUUUUUAUUUUGGUGAGACGUCAAUUCCAUCUUCACAUUUUCCAUACGGCAUCUUCUUCAUCUCAAUCAAUGAAUCACGAAAUCAC
rnacentral:lncRNA from 1 species